rnacentral:rRNA from 1 species
AUUGAACGCUGGCGGCAGGCCUAACACAUGCAAGUCGAACGAGUGGCGGACGGGUGAGUAAUGUCUGGGAAACUGCCUGAUGGAGGGGGAUAACUACUGGAAACGGUAGCUAAUACCGCAUACCAUCAGAUGUGCCCAGAUGGGAUUAGCUAGUGGGUGGGGUAACGGCUCACCAAGGCGACGAUCCCUAGCUGGUCUGAGAGGAUGACCAGCCACACUGGAACUGAGAAACGGUCCAGACUCCUAAGCGAGGCAGCAGUGGUGAAUAUUGCACAAUGGGCGCAAGCCUGAUGCAUCCAGGCCGCGUGUAUGAAGAAGGCCUUCGGGUUGUAAAGUACUUUCAGCGGGGCGGCGUUACCCGCAGAAGAAGCACCGGCUAACUCCGUGCCAGCAGCCGCGGUAAUUG